rnacentral:rRNA from 1 species
CAGCAGCCACGGUAAUACGUAGGGUGCAAGCGUUAAUCGGAAUUACUGGGCGUAAAGCGUGCGCAGGCGGUGUUGUAAGACUGAUGUGAAAUCCCCGGGCUCAACCUGGGAACUGCAUUGGAUACUGGGUCACUAGAGUGUGGUAGAGGAUAGUGGAAUUUCCGGUGUAGCAGUGAAAUGCGUAGAGAUCGGAAGGAACAUCUGUGGCGAAGGCGACUAUCUGGGCCAACACUGACACUGAGGCACGAAAGCGUGGGGAGCAAAUAGGAUUAGAUACCCCGGUAGUCCCUGUCUCUUAUAC